ACCCACGACAAAUCUUACCACUUCUUGCAUAUUCUAGUUCAGAGUUAAUGUGAAGAUAAUUUUAUUUAUAAAUACUUAUACUAGUAUUAUGAAUGGAUUUUAAAUUCCAUUAACUACACUUGAAUACAGGUGUUGCAUGGCUGUCUUUAGUUCGUGUUGUGAAAUGUUAGGUUCAUUCCGUGAACGAACGUAAUCCUUAUCUUUAAUUACAAUGACAGAAUAAAAUUCAAUGGAAUUCCAUUGAAGCGUUCACUCAAUUAAAGAAGUAUCUUUUGAUAAGAAAGAAUAAUUAGGCCGAAGACAAGUCCUCAUGACCCUUAUGGAGUGGGCUACAGACGUGCCACAAAGAUUUCUACAAAGGGAAGCAAAGAUGGAAGUCCGAGCAAAUCCUCAAAAGAA
rnacentral:rRNA from 1 species